AGUGAACGCUGGCGGUAGGCCUAACACAUGCAAGUCGAACGGCAGCACAGUAAGAGCUUGCUCUUACGGGUGGCGAGUGGCGGACGGGUGAGGAAUACAUCGGAAUCUACUUUUUCGUGGGGGAUAACGUAGGGAAACUUACGCUAAUACCGCAUACGACCUACGGGUGAAAGCAGGGGAUCUUCGGACCUUGCGCGAUUGAAUGAGCCGAUGUCGGAUUAGCUAGUUGGCGGGGUAAAGGCCCACCAAGGCGACGAUCCGUAGCUGGUCUGAGAGGAUGAUCAGCGACACGGGAACGGAGGCAGGGGCCAGGCGCCUAGGGGAGGGAGCAGUGGGGAAUAGUGGACAAUGGGGGCAAGCCUGAGCCAGGGAGGCCGCGUGGGUGAAGAAGGCGUUCGGGUUGGAAAGCCGUUUUGUUGGGAGAGAAAAGCAGCAGGUUAAUACCCCGCUGUUCUGACGGUACCGAAAGAAUAAGCACCGGCUAACUUCGUG
rnacentral:rRNA from 1 species